ACUACUCACCCCAACGCCUCCUGAACCACACCAAAACCGUCCUAAAACAGCUGCAGCUGCAGGUCUCUAGAGCCGCCCCAGCUCUUCCCUCCACUCCGACCCACCACACACAACAACAGACAUGAUCAUCAGACUGGGCAGACUGACACCUGGAUACUUUCGCCUCCUCCAGAGGCAAGUUGCCGGCGAGGUGCAGACGCAGCCACAGGACCGCCACGUCAACCAGAUCGCCAUGAUGCUGGCCAUCAUGGGCCUGAGUUUGUCCUACUACAGCGCCAAACAGAUGACGGAGAAGGUGGCGGCCCGGCCGGCGCCCUGAAGAGACUUGACUACUCUUGAUGAACGGAGAUAAUGGACGAGCCAAUGAGAAGUGAAGGAGGCGGAGCGAGGGGGGGCAGACGCAGAGACACAGCAGUGUCUUCCGGGACCGCACUUUUCUCACCUCACAGUCAUAGUCACACUCAGACACUGAAUCUUUAAGACCCCUCAUGCAGAGACUUCAGGGCUGCUGCAAAUCGUUUUCCAUACUUACCGUUGUCGGGAUCCUGACGGGGUUUAAGGGGAUGGCUCACUGGGGGUGGUGGAGCAGCCUGGUCUUAUGGACUGGUUUGGGCGGGUGGUUAAAACCGGCCGACUGCCAACUGGGUCUGACCAUUAGUCGUUAACAAGGUACAUGCUUGCAAGAUGCUGUCAAUACUGUUCUGAGCUAAAAGGGAGAAGAAGCUCCAAUAUAACUGUGAAUUUUGCUUAAAUGCUGGACAGUAAUGUCUAUUUAAGGGAAAGGCGUUCUGUGCUUGAGAUGUACCUUGUAACGAAGGGAUGGCAGGCCCAGAACUCGGUAAAGGGGAUUAAAAGUUGGCUUAAAAGAUUUUUGUAUUUUUUUUUUUUUUUUCCCCAUCAUGAGAGAACCUUUCAGAGCCUUGUGAACAGUUUGAGAGCUGUAUUCACAAACUGUCAAUAUAUAUUCUUGUGAAAUGUGUCUGUCAGGUGUCAGAUUCAGUAAAUAUUUGCGCAAAAGUGCAGAAACUUUUUUUUUUUUAAAUGCUACAAUUGUCUGCAAAGGGACUUUAAACUACUCACUACCUUUUCUUUUUUUUUUAUGGUGUUUUUUUCCUGUGAAUUCACACUGUUUUAACAAAUAUAUGAAGUCCUGUUAAUAAGAUGUGUGACUAUGUUAAUGAGCACCCUGGUUAAGAUACCCUUCCUGCAGUAUCUACUACAUGUUGAUGCAGACAUUUACUGAACAUUGCAUGGGUGUGCAGACUUUUAAUCCAAGCAAAAUUAAUGAAUCUGUCUUGUUUUUAUUGAUGAAUGAAUGUAUUACUUUAUUUUGUAAUGAUUUAAUAAAGCUGUGAAUAUUUUCAAUGACA